AUUGAACGCUGGCGGCAGGCCUUACACAUGCAAGUCGAACGAGCGGCGGACGGGUGAGUAAUGUAUGGGGAUGUGCCCGGUAGAGGGGGAUACCUAAUGGAAACGGUGGCUAAUACCGCAUACUAUUGGCGCAACCAAUAUGGGAUUAGCUAGUAGGUGGGGUAAAGGCCACCAAGGAAACGCUCCCUAGCUGGUGUGAGAGGAUGAACAGCCACACUGGGACUGAGACACGGCCCAGAGUCCGACGGGAGGCAGCAGUGGGGAAUAUUGCACAAUGGGGGAAACCCUGAUGCAGCCAUCCCGCGUGUAUGAUGAAGGCCUUGGGGUUGGAAAGUACUUUCAGCAGGGAAGCGUUACCCGCAGAAUAAGCACCGGCUAACUACGUGCCAGCAGCCGCGGUAAUUC
rnacentral:rRNA from 1 species